UAUCUAUGUUCUUAAUGAAUAUUUUUGACUGAGUUGUGUGGGGGCAUGCCCCAUUCUGAAGAGGCUGACGAUUUUACUGUCUCUCUUUUUUUUUGCUUCCAGAAUGGCUUCUGGGUGGGUUCUCUGGGUGGUGGCUCUGUUAGUGAAUCUAAUCAGGCUGGAUUCCUCCAUGACUCAAGGAAGAGACUCUCCAGAAGAUUUUGUGAGUCAGGCAAAGGCUGACUGUUACUUCACCAAUGGGACAGAAAAGGUGCAGUUUGUGGUCAGAUUCAUCUUUAACUUGGAGGAGUAUGCACGUUUCGACAGCGAUGUGGGAAUGUUUGUGGCAUUGACAGAGCUCGGGCAGCCUGAUGCUGAGCUGUGGAACAACCGGCCAGAUAUAUUGGCGAGGAGUAGAGCUGCUGUGGAUAUGCUCUGCAGACACAAUUACAAGCUGGGUGCACCCUUCACUGUGGGAAGAAGAGUGCAACCCAAGGUGACAGUGUAUCCAGAGAUGACCCCAUCCCUGCAGCACCACAAUCUGCUGCUCUGCUCUGUGACAGAUUUCUAUCCUGGGGACAUCAAGAUCAGGUGGUUCCGGAAUGGGCUGGAGGAGAGAGCAGGGAUCAUGUCCACUGGCCUUAUCAGGAAUGGAGACUGGACCUUUCAGACAAUGGUGAUGCUGGAAAUGACUCCUGAACUUGGAGAUGUCUACACCUGCCUUGUUGAUCAUCCCAGCCUGCUGAGCCCUGUUUCUGUGGAGUGGAGAGCUCAGUCUGAAUAUUCUUGGAGAAAGAUGCUAAGUGGAGUUGCAGCCUUCCUGCUUGGGCUCAUCUUCCUCCUGGUGGGGAUCGUCACCCACCUCAGGGCUCAGAAAGGUAAUGAGCCUCUGAGGAGUCCCCUGCCACCUGCCCCAUGGCUUCCCCCACUUCCCACUUUUCCUAACGUCAAAGACGUGAGGCAGGGAAGGCUGAUUGUACUUCUCAGGGAUGUCUGGAAUAGUCUUUUCUGAAGCCAGAACCAUUCCAGGGGGUAAGGGGAGAUGGAGCUCUGAUACUGCAGGUCAUCUCCCAGCCCUCAGGAUAAUGACAUCUGGUCCUAAUUGGCGCAUUCUAUUUCUUUCUUCUCUUUCAUUCCAGGAUAUAUGGACAGUCAGUUGUCUGGUAAGGAGGUCUCAAGAGCUGUUCUCUCACCACAGCCAUAUUAAGGUCUUAACUGAAGCUUCUCCCCCUGGAGCCUGAAGUACCACUGAGUGGCCUGGGCCGCAGACUAAGUAAAGGACAUUCGUGAAGUCAACGUUCUGGAGUGACUCUUUUCCAUGAGGCCUUGGAGGAGUCCUGAACUGAUUCUUGAGUUUGUGUUCUGAGAUCAUGCAUCUCUGACCCUUCUGCCCUUCUUCCUCCUACUUGAAUAUGUUUUUAGUCCCCAUUCCCAAGGACUGAAAUUCCCCUAAGACCUGACUCCUUCCAGUUCCAAACUGGUUACUUUUUCUAUGGUCCAGCCCUAACCCUGUACGUAGUCAUCUCGUCUUUCUCUCUUCCUACUGCGUCUCCACAGUCUUAAGAAGACAAAUGCUCAGAUAGUCACUGUUUCCUUUUCACUGUUUUUGAAAACCUUUUUUAUUGCAAAAUAAAACUGAGAUACAUUGUG